rnacentral:rRNA from 1 species
CAUGCCUAAGACAUGCAAGUCGAACGAGAUGGUCCAAUGAAGAUGGAGUGCUUGCACAAAGUUGGAUUUGGUUCGCCAUCUAGUGGCAGACGGGUGAGUAACACGUGGGUGACCUACCUUUUAGUUGGGGAUAACAAUUGGAAACGAUUGCUAAUACCGAAUAAGAUAUAACUGUCGUGGUUAUAUUGAAAGGAGCCUUUAAAGCUUCGCUUAAAGAUGGGCCUGCGGCGUAUUAACUAGUUGGUGAGGUAAUGGCUUACCAAGGUGACGAUGCGUAGCCGGACUGAGAGGUUGAACGGCCACACUGGGACUGAGACACGGCCCAGACUCCUACGGGAGACAGCAGUUAGGAAUAUUCGUCAAUGGGGGAAACCCUGAACGAGCAAUGCCGCGUGAGUGAUGAAGGUCUUUGGAUUGUAAAACUCUGUUGUAUGGAAAAAAUGGCUAGGUUAGGAAAUGAACUUAGUUUGAUGGUACCAUACCAGAAAGCCCCGGCUAACUACGUG